AUACAGAGGGUGCGAGCGUUAAUCGGAAUUACUGGGCGUAAAGCGCGCGUAGGCGGUCUAUUAAGUCAGAUGUGAAAUCCCAGGGCUCAACCUUGGAACUGCAUCUGAUACUGGUAGACUAGAGUUCUGGAGAGGGAAGUAGAAUUUCAGGUGUAGCGGUGAAAUGCAUAGAGAUUUGAAGGAAUACCAGUGGCGAAGGCGACUUCCUGGCCAAAAACUGACGCUGAGGUGCGAAAGCGUGGGUAGCAAACGGGAUUAGAAACCCUAGUAGUCC
rnacentral:rRNA from 1 species